AUUGAACGCUGGCGGCAGGCCUAACACAUGCAAGUCGAACGAGUGGCGGACGGGUGAGUAAUGUCUGGGAAACUGCCUGAUGGAGGGGGAUAACUCCUGGAAACGGUAGCUAAUACCGCAUACCAUCGGAUGUGCCCAGAUGGGAUUAGCUAGUGGGUGGGGUAACGGCUCACCUAGGCGACGAUCCCUAGCUGGUCUGAGAGGAUGACCAGCCACACUGGAACUGAGACACGGGCCAGACUCCUACGGGAGGCAGCAGUGGGGAAUAUUGCACAAUGGGCGCAAGCCUGAUGCAGCCAUGCCGCGUGUAUGAAGAAGGCCUUCGGGUUGUAAAGUACUUUCAGCGGGGAGGCGUUACCCGCAGAAGAAGCACCGGCUAACUCCGUGCCAGCAGCCGCGGUAAUAC
rnacentral:rRNA from 1 species